AGGCUGUAGAGGAAGAGCGCCAGCAUGAGCAGCCCCAGCAGGGCCAGCACUAUCUUGAUGAUGAGCCACUUGUAGCGCGUGCAGAUGAGCCCUGCACCCAGGAAGUCAUCCGCGGAGAAGUGGUCGGCGUCCCAGAUCUGCAGGGUGAGCCUUGCGGGGAUCUUGUACUCUGUCUCAUCCCAGGAGAACAUGGACUCCUUCUUGGAGAUGACGAUCUUUUCCUCAGCAGCCAGGUAGUCGAAGGGGAACAGGUAGCGCCAGUUGAAGUUGCCCUCGCCAGUGAGGGAGUGAUAGUGGACAUCCGUGUCCUGCUUGUCCUCCUGCUGGCCCUUCAGCCACCUGUCCGGUGUCAUCGGCUUCAGACCUGUGGUUGCCCGCAGGGAGCCCCCUCCCUCUUCUCCUGCCUCCCAGGAAGAUGGGCUCACCCAGCCCAGCGAGCGCCUCCCAACCCACCUCCGCCGCCCCAGUCAGGGACCUUCUCACCCACCCCCGCACAAAAAUGUCACUGGACUUCUCCCCAGUGAAGAAGUCGUCGUCCUCCAGGACCACCUCGUCUGUGUUCCACACGAUGACCCGGAGCUCGUACCUGGGCAGGGGAGAGGCUGGCUUGCAGUCCGGGGCUGCCGGCUGCCCCAGGGUCUUGGAUGUAGAUGGGGCAGGAUCAAGGCCAGCAUGAGUGACCAGCCCCGCCCCACGCACAUGGAGUAGGUCUGGGCGAUGCCGCAGGUGGCGCGGUGCUUGCUGUA